ensembl:lncRNA
AAGGUAAUGGUGUAAAUCAAGGUAGAUUCCUGCUUCUUACCAUCAUUCUGUGGUAGGCUGCAAGAACAGUAGUCUGUAAGAAAGGCUAUAAUCCAACUGUAGCCUUCAGGGACAUACCUGCACUGGGACUGCUGAAUGCAUAGAGAAUGCUCAGUUCUUGAAAUAUGACCCAAAUAAACCCUUGAAAAAAAUAAUGUGGUUUUCUUUCCACCCUCCCGCCCCCUGGAAGGAGCUUUUCGUUGUGUAGGCAGGGUCACACUGCAUCCACCAAUCACUGCUGUUUCUAUGUGUCCAUAAACAACAAGCUAAUGAAGAACAAGCUAAUUAAAGCUAAUUAGACAGAACUGAUAAAACACAUCAGUAUUUAUUCUCUGAAAGCUCUGAUCUGUGCCUGAUACAAAAAUGAAGAGUUUGUGCUUCUUGAUGCAUUUUCCAUUUGCUGUCUCAUAGUCUUUCUAGCUCUUCCUAGAUUUUCUUGUUUGUUUUAAAUUCCAUUGAAACCAUGGCAGCAAGGGCAGUGGAAGGAAAGAAUAAAGAAGGUGGAGAAGAUGGAGUCCUUUUAUACCUGAGUUUAGGGCACAGGUGGGAAUAUGCUGAAGCAGAAGCACCGAAGUCAGAAGGUCUUCUAAGGUGGAGAGAAACAAAAAGAACAUCUUCGGAAGGAGAGGCAGCAUCUGGAUGCUGAAGUCAGUGAGUUUGGACAAUCACAAGACAAUGUCUCACUUGGGCAUGUCAUGGUAUAAAGAGGGAAACUAACCAAGGUUGAAAAGGGCAUAGCUUAGGCACUGGAGCCUAUGUGGAAAGGCAUGAUAGAUUGUGAGUCCAUUGAAUCCCCUGGAAGUUUGUUGCUAUCUUGACUAGUGGCUGUACAGACUCUGGCAACAUCACUGGGGGCAAGUUAAAGGCAGCAAGAGCUUUAGUCUCUCCAACCACCUCACAAAAUGCUGCAGUAAUGGAUGGGAAGGGUGAGGGUGCACUAGGGAAGAUUAAAUUUGACUUUGUCCUUUUGCUGCAUAUGCUAGAGCAAUAGUUAACAGAGAGAGAGUGAAAUACCUGUUCUUCAUAUAAUUACAAAAUGACCAGAAGCAGGAACUGGCUCAUCCUGAAACCAAGAACAGGACUAUGUCUCCAGAGCAAGCUGUCUACACCCAAGAUCCAGCUCUGGAUGCCUGCAAGCAGCUAAAAAAUGUAGAGGUCAAACUGACUGCCUUGAUAAAAGUGCUGGAAAUAUUCAGAAAGUGCAGAUAUUUUAAUGGGCCAAAAUGUAACAGCUGGCAGAACUCAAAAGCUGCCUGAUUUUUUAUGUACAACAACAGUGCCAAGCAAACCCCAAUGUGGGCAAUCAAGGUAGAGGAAAACAAACUAGGUUUUACAGAGCAGACUGAAGGUCUCUAAAUGUGUAAUUCAACUGGUACUUCUAAGCAGCUCAUGAAAAAAUACUGUGUUUGAACAGAGAUUCUUCAUUCUGUAUUAUGGAUUUUUCUUGAUGUUUGAGGAAACUUUGAAGAAUACCCCUAAAGCUCACUUUCAGACCAUCUUUCUCCAAGUGUAAAAAGAAAACAGAAGCAAUACCUCAAUCUUUUCUCUAUAUAAAGGAAGCAUAAAGGUGUUUCCUGCCUCCUGGAAAGCAAGUCCUUGCUUGUAUGCAUGGAUGCAGAAAAGCUCAGUAAUGCGGAGUACUAAUGAGCUCAGUAGAGGCAAGGAGAUGGGAGGAGGAUAUGGUUUUGACAACAGCAAGAAAGGGUGACUCCUUCAUUGACAGAACUUUAGUUUAUGCUAGACCAGAGGCCUUUAUCCUUCCUUUUUUUGAACAUGGGCACAGGCUGCACAGACAGUGCAGAGUCCUUUAAUGGAGGUAUUCAGAAGCCAUCUGGAGACAUUUCUGAAUGACAAGCUCAAG